rnacentral:rRNA from 1 species
CUGCUAUCGGAUUGAUACUAAGCCAUGCGAGUCAUUGUAGCAAUACAAGGCAUACGGCUCAGUAACGCGUAGUCAACCUAACCUAUGGACGGGAAUAACCUCGGGAAACUGAGAAUAAUGCCCGAUAGGACAUUAUGCCUGGAAUGGUUUAUGUUCCAAAUGAUUUAUCGCCGUAGGAUGGGACUGCGGCCUAUCAGUUUGUUGGUGAGGUAAUGGCCCACCAAGACUAUUACAGGUACGGGCUCUGAGAGGAGUAGCCCGGAGAUGGGUACUGAGACACGGACCCAGGCCCUAUGGGGCGCAGCAGGCGAGAAAACUUUGCAAUGUGCGAAAGCACGACAAGGUUAAUCCGAGUGGUUUCUGCUAAAGGAACCUUUUGUCAGUCCUAGAAACACUGAUGAAUAAGGGUGGGCAAGUUCUGGUGUCAGCGCGCGUAAAACAGCACCUCAAGUGGUCAGGAUGAUUAUUGGGCCUAAAGCAUCCGUAGCCGGCUCUGUAAGUUUUCGGUUAAAUCUGUACGCUCAACGUACAGGCUGCCGGGAAUACUGCAAAGCUAGGGAGUGGGAGAGGUAGACGGUACUCGGUAGGAAGGGGUAAAAUCCUUUGAUCUAUUGAUGACCACCUGUGGCGAAGGCGGUCUACCAGAACACGUCCGACGGUGAGGGAUGAAAGCUGGGGGAGCAAACCGGAUUAGAUACCCGGGUAGUCCCAGCUGUAAACCAUGCAAACUCAGUGAUGCAUUGGCUUGUGGCCAAUGCAGUGCUGCAGGGAAGCCGUUAAGUUUGCCGCCUGGGAAGUACGUACGCAAGUAUGAAACUUAAAGGAAUUGGCGGGGGAGCACCACAAGGGGUGAAGCCUGCGG